UCAGUGAUCAAUUUAAACAAA
rnacentral:piRNA from 1 species